GAUGAAGAACGUAGCAAAAUGCGAUACUUGGUGUGAAUUGCAGAAUCCCGUGAACCAUCGAGUUUUUGAACGCAAGUUGCGCCCGAAGCCUUUUGGCCGAGGGCACGUCUGCCUGGGCGUCACGCAUCGCGUCGCCCCCCACAAUUCUCCGUAAAGGGAACAUGUGUUUUGGGGGCGGAUAUUGGUCUCCCGUGCUCAUGGCGUGGUUGGCCGAAAUAGGAGUCCUUUCGAUGGACGCACGAACUAGUGGUGGUCGUAAAAACCCUCGUCUUUUGUUUCGUGCUGUUGCUCGCAAGGUAAACUCUUUAAAAACCCCAAUGUGUCGUCUCUUGACGACGCUUCGACCGCGACCCCAGGUCAGGCGGGACUACCCGCUGAGUUUAAGCAUAUCAAAAGCGGAGGA
rnacentral:misc_RNA from 1 species